rnacentral:rRNA from 1 species
CUACGGGGCGCAGCAGGCGCGAAACCUUUACAAUGCACGAAAGUGUGAUAAGGGAAUCCCGAGUGCUUUGCUUUCGGGUAAAGCUUUUGUCAAGUGUAAAAAGCUUGGCGAAUAAGUGGUGGGUAAGACAGGUGCCAGCCGCCGCGGUAACACCUGCGCCACGAGUGGCUAUCAUGUUUAUUGGGUCUAAAGCGUUCGUAGCCGGUUUGAUAAGUUCUUUGUGAAAUUGAUGAGCUCAACUCAUCAACGUGCAAGGAAUACUGUUAGACUAGGGACCGGGAGGAGGUAGGAGUACUCUUUGGGGAGCGGUAGAAUGUUGUAAUCCUUAGAGGACUACCUGUGGCGAAGGCGCCUACCCAGAACGGCUCUGACGGUGAGGAACGAAGGCUAGGGGAGCAAAACGGAUUAGAUACCCCGGUAGUC